rnacentral:lncRNA from 1 species
GUUUGAAGAGGUUUUUUGUGUUUAUGGUAAAACUACCAGCAAGUGGCAGAAUUAAAAGAGUGUAUCACUGGUAAAAGGCAUAGGGGAUUCCCUAGAACUUGAAACAAAGGAGUUUGAUGAAUGGCUCUCUUUGUUGUCUAGACCUGAGGGAGGGACAAGACAGUGGACUUUAAAGAACAGCUGCACCAUAGGGCUGUGACUGUCAUCCACACACUCAGAUAAAUGGUUGGCUCAUUAUUGCAGCUGCUGCGGGCUUUAGAGAGCUGGACAGCUGUUGCCAGGAGAUGCAGUCAAACAGAACAGAGGAAAUGGAAUCCUGUGAUAAUGACUGUGCCUCUUCCUGGUCCUUCUCUGCCUUUCCCCGUGGUCCAUCUGCACUUUGCCUUCUCCCUCUCCCUGGAAGACAGGCUGCUCAUCCGAUUGUGGUGCCUCCGCUGGUGUACGUUUUCUGCCUAGGGUGAGUGGUGCCAUCCCACUUCCUUUCCAAAUCCUAAUUGCUUUUUCUGAUCUCUCUGACUCCCAGUCAACCCUUUGAUGGUCUCUGUUGUGCUUGUAGUUGGUGCUACACAGACCAACACAGGAUUUUCCUCCUAUAGGAAAGAAAGUCCCCUCAAUUAGACUAGAAGCAGGAAUGGGAAGGGACCUGCCUUUCUGCUGAUUACCCUUAGUUGCCCAGCACUGGCUCUGUGUGUGUAUUCAGCACCCACUUGGCUGAGAAUAUUUCUUUCUCACUCUUUUAAAAUAACUUUUCUGAUUUAAAUUAUUCUGUUUUACGUUGGGUAUAAUUUUCAAAUAGUUAUGAACUUACAUUGAGCACUUUUCAUGCAUUUUGAUUAGUACUUUAUCUCACAGCUUAAAAGACAGCACAAGGAGGUAGAGACUGAUACUACACAUGUUUUACAGUAGAAGAACCUGAGGCUUAGAGAGGUAAGAUAACUUGCUGCAGGUCACACGCUGGAGGUCGAAACACCUUACCCAGCUGCUACAGUGCUUUGCAUAAACCAAGUUAAGAGUUCUAGUAUAAUGAAUGCCCCAAAUGCAUUGGUGGGCUGGCAUUUGGGAAACAGUGUUCCUUUUCAAAGGCUGGGCUCUUAACACCAUAUCCUGGGCCUCACAUGGGAAUGGAUAUGGUCCAACCCAGGGUUUGGUCCUCCUUAGGUAUUGAAGUAGAAAGCAUUACACUGCCGGUGACACCACCUUGGGGAGUUCCAAACUCCAGUCCUUGCAGCUCUGUAUACUGAUUAUUUGAUCUCAGAGUGUCUAGGAAACAAGGUUGAAACUCAGGUUUUCUCAGGAGAUGUCUGUUUCCUGAAAAGCUACCUAGGGGAAUCUUACAGCUGUGGGCAUCACCUUGGAGGCAAAUCCGUGUUGGUGAAAGUGAUCGCCCUUUUUCCUAAUUGAACCAAUUAUGGCUGAACAAUGAGGUAACCCAAUGAACUCUCUUGGGAAGACUUGGCCAGAGUAUGAACUGGCUCAGCUUGUUUUCAGACGACGUCUUUGCUGAAAAUACAUUCUGGCUGCAGCUGUUUUUUAGAGACUUAAGUGAUCACAUUACAUCCCAAUCAAAUCCUUUGGCAGUCAGUAUUCUCCAGGUGGCUCAGGGCAACCUGCACAAAGCAGGCUGAAUAUGUGGUUCAGAGCCAGCAUUACCUUUAUCUACAGCAACCAGUCCUGCCAUGCAGGAUGGAGGAGGUAGCUAGUAUCUACCUCUUUGGCCUGAUUACCAUUUUCUGCUCCCCCCAGUGCCCUGUGCUAAACUUCUUCCCACUCAACUCCUCUCAUAGGCAGCCUGCUGGAUGGCUUCACCCUCCUUUUUUAUUUAUAUGGAGGCUCACUCUGUUGCCCAGGCUGGAGUACAGUGACACAAUCUUGGCUCACUGAAACCUCUGCCUCCCAAGUUCAAGCAAUUCUCGUGUCUCAGUCUCUUGAGUAGCUGGGACUACAGGCAUGCGCCGCCGCUGCCACCUGGCUAAUUUUUGCAUUUUUAGUGGAGACAGGGUUUUACCAAAUUGGCCAGCCUGGUCUCAAACCCCUGACCUCAGGUGAUCUGCCCUCCUCGGCCUCCCAAAGUGCUCGGAUUAUAGGCAUGAGCCACCGUGCCCAGCCGGCUUCUCCGUCCUUAAAACUGAUGUAUCUCUUCCCCACUCUUAUCUCCUAAGAUACUGAGCCUUAAAAUAGCUAGCCAAACAAAAACACCAACGAAGACUCUUUGGAAGGGACUAUGCUCAGUCUGAGGAGGACCCAGAAGCAAAAGUCACAGAUGUGACCUCAAAAGUCAGUAUUGUGCUCCCCCACAUGGCGUCCACUGGCCACGUGUGAUGAUUAAACAUGUGAAAAGCAGUCUCAAGGCUGAGAUGUGAUGCAAGUGUAUAAUACACACUAGAUUUCAAAUACUUAGUAGGAAUAAAAAAUUUAAAGUAUCACUAAAAGAUUUAAAAAUACAUUAGAAAGGAAAAAAUUUCAACAAAAUAAAAAGGAAGGCAACAAAAAAAGAAAAAAGUCUCACUCAUGAUUUUUAUAUUGACUACAUGUUAAAAUAACAUUUGAAAGUAUUGAGUUAAAUCAAAUAUACUGUGAAAUUAAUUUCACCUGCUUAUUUUUAUUUUUUUUAAGUGUGGCUUAUAGAAGAGUGAAGAUACUAUAUAUGGUUGGCACUAUAUUUCUGUUGCACAAUGGUGGCGGAUAAACAUUAAAUGAAGAGAAGGAUGAUGCUAUAAAGUAUUAUAAAGACACUGAAAAUGUGCUGUGGGAGGAGAAAGAAGGGAGAAAUAAAUUUCAUUUGGGAGACCCUGAAAAAAUUCCUGGAAAAAAUGGCAUCAAACUGGGUCUUGACAUAGGAUUGUAGAGGAAAGGCCUGGAGGCCUUUUAUUCAGAUGGAGGAUGGGGAUUUUGACCAAAACAGAUUCUGUGGUGCUGGUAUCUGCCAGUUGGAUUUGGUUUCCCAAUCCAACUGCCCAUUAUUAUUACCUGCUGUAGAUUCCUGAGUUUGUCUCAGACACCAGGAGCCAAGAUUCACUGGCGUGAGGCCCAGACAUCCUUGUCCAGAGUUUUUGAAGUCAUUGUCUUGUAGUUCAUUUGAUCCCAGUCUGCGAAACUGUGUUUGGAAAUGCUGGGUGCAAAUGGUCAUCUUUGAGCCUUGAGAGGCCAGCCUCAGUGGGCUUUCCAUAAUCCACGGCUAGAGGUAGCCAUGGUACCUUCUGUUUUUGUAUGUUCUUUGGGGAGAAGCCCUGAGCAGGAAGCACCUGAAAUGCAGAGCUUGGAAGAAAACAGCUCAUGCCAUGGGCUCCUGAGUGGGUCAGCCAUUUUCCCCUGUGGAGGCA